UGAGUAUCAAUGAUGAAGUUUCUCUGCUGCAUGAGGCUGAGUACUCUGUGCGGAUACCAACCUUGGAGAACUGAGGACUCA